rnacentral:misc_RNA from 1 species
UCUCCGUUGGUGAACCAGCGGAGGGAUCAUUACCGAGUUUACAACUCCCAAACCCAAUGUGAACCAUACCAAACUGUUGCCUCGGCGGGGUCACGCCCCGGGUGCGUCGCAGCCCCGGAACCAGGCGCCCGCCGGAGGGACCAACCAAACUCUUUCUGUAGUCCCCUCGCGGACGUUAUUUUUACAGCUCUGAGCAAAAAUUCAAAAUGAAUCAAAACUUUCAACAACGGAUCUCUUGGUUCUC